GUCCCCUUCGUCUAGAGGCCUAGGACACCGCCCUUACACGGCGGUAACAGGGGUUCGAAUCCCCUAGGGGACG
rnacentral:tRNA from 1 species